AAUGAACGUUGGCGGCAUGGAUUAGGCAUGCAAGUCGAGCGAGAAGGGUACUCUAGCUUGCUAGAGUACCUGGACAGCGGCGAAAGGGAGAGUAACGCGUAGUUAUGUGCCCAGGGGUUCGGAAUAGCCACGGGAAACUGUGGGUAAUGCCGAAUAACAUCUCCGGAUCAAAGGUGUGAUUCCGCCCUUGGAGCAGACUGCGUCCUACUAGCUAGUUGGCGGGGUAAUGGCCCACCAAGGCAACGAUGGGUAGCGGGUGUGAGAGCAUGACCCGUCUCACUGGGACUGAGACACUGCCCAGACACCUACGGGUGGCUGCAGUCGAGAAUCUUCGGCAAUGGGCGAAAGCCUGACCGAGCGAUGCCGCGUGUGGGAUGAAGGCCCUCGGGUUGUAAACCACUGUCGUAGGGGAGGAAGGCUCCGUGAAGAACGGGGUUUGACCUAUCCUAGGAGGAAGUACGGGCUAAGUUCGUGCCAGCCGCCGCGGUAAAAC
rnacentral:rRNA from 1 species